rnacentral:rRNA from 1 species
UACGUAGGAUGCAAGCGUUUGUCCGGAAUUAUUGGGCGUAAAGAGCGCGCAGGCGGUCUGCCAAGUCAGAUGUGAAAGAGGCCGGCUUAACCGGCAAGGGUCAUUUGAAACUGACAGACUAGAGUGCAGCAGAGGAUAGCGGAAUUCCCGGUGUAGUGGUGAAAUGCGUAGAUAUCGGGAGGAACACCAGUGGCGAAGGCGGCUAUCUGGGCUGCAACUGACGCUGAGGCGCGAAGGCUAGGGUAGCAAACAGG